AAUAUUAGUCAAUGCUCGCAAGAGUGAACUAGCUAACUGAAAUCACAUGACUCGUUAAUUGAUGGUGAUUGUGAUAACAUAAGGGAAAAAAAUGAUGUUACCUUAUUAUUAGUGUUGUCCAAAACUGGUGCCAGAAGACUCGGUAAGACCAGAGACGCAAACGUUAGUCAUCUUAAUCAGGCGUAAAGGGUGUGUAGGCUGCUUUAAAAUUUUAAUUCUUUGUAAUAGCUCUGUAUUCGUAAAUAUAAAAUAUAUUAAUUAGAGACAGUAUAAUUUAUAUUCGUCUCACAGUAAAGAAAUAAAUGAAUAAAAGCUAGGAUCAAAUUGAGGAUAAGCCGAAUAAUACUUAGAGUAGGGGUUAAAUCCGCAGAUACUAAGGGGAAUACUAACGGUGAAAGCUUUUAUCUACUAUUGAUUGACGCUGAGAAACGAAGGUGAGAACAGGAAAUAGGAUUAGAUACCCAGAUACCUCUCACUGUCAACGAUGAAUGGUGGUUUGUUAGUUUUUUUCAAGAACUAGUAACGAUGUUAACACGAUAACCAUUCCGCCUUGCGAGUACGGUUGCAAAACUGAAACCAAAAAAAUUAGUCGGUCUCGAAGCAAACGAAGUGAAGCAUGUUAUUUAAUUC
rnacentral:rRNA from 1 species